AAAACCCGUUGAAUUGAACAGGAAACAUUCACGGGAAAUCUGCAGGUGUCUGCAAGCAAGAGUGACGCUAGAAGGAUCUUAGUAUGCCAGCUCCCUCUUCCUCAAGGGUAGUGUCCCUGGAAUGAAGCCACCAGCAACAGGAGAGGAAACAGAUGGGGUUGUAGAAAGUAGGAGCAGCAAAAGCUUCUGAACUUAGUAAUAAGCUGCUUGCCCCGGGCUGCAUCGCGAGAGCUCAGAAGCUCAGUCAAUGCAAAACAGAAGGCACUGAGGGAAAAUUUCAGAUGAGAAUGGACGUACCCUCUCCAGAGGUGAGGUGGGGAGGAGCAGAUGUUUUGCCUCUAGUGAGACAAUAAUUUACUUCCCUAUUAUUGUUUGACUUUGCCUUGUUUCUGCCUAUGAAUUACUAACAGAGGCUUGCAGCACUAUCUAUGGGGCCUGAAACAUACAAUAAGGGGCCAGAAGGCCUUGAGAGAGCUGAAAAAGAAAUCAUCACCCUAGCCUCACCCAGUCACCUGUCUCCAGGCAAAAUAAUUCCCUGUCCUUCAUGAUGAUUCGGAGAAGACCAGCCCCACUCAGCUGCUGUUGCCAACCAACCAUAGUUCUUGUUACCCUGGGCCACAAGUGCCUUAUCCACUAGAUUGAGAAAGUUAAUGCCAGAGGGAAGUGAGAAACUAACUAUGGAAGAGUGGACCCAUGUUGCAAAAACAAAGUUCUAGGGAAAGACGUGAACAAAGAUGGGUGAGUAUGAAUGGGGUCUGACUGGAACAUGGCAGAGAAGAAAUUCAACUAUGCAAUGAGAUAAAGCAAAGAUUCUAAUGAAAGACUGAUGUGGUCAUAAACAAACAAACAAACAAACAAAAAACAGGUGCCCAAUGAAUACUUCUAACUGAAAAAAAAUCUGAAGAUGCUGGUCAGAGGAUCCUCAGGAGGGAAAAAACCUGACUUUCCUUGGUAAGGGCCUGUGGAGCAAGUAAUUGCAGCUUGAACCAUGGGGUCUCCUUGGAGCUGCGGGCACCAAGCAUCAGAUCUGAACACAGAAGCUGGGCCAGUUUGUUAAGUAGGGUGCGGCAGAGACUGUUAGUUGCCUAUCCAAUAUCCAGUCUCCUCUUUUUCCUUGGUCACAUAACCCAGAUUUUAAUCUGGGUGGCAGUGUGCUCAGCUGAAAGACUACACUUGGAAGCCACAUUUGCAGCCUGAGGGCCAGUGAGACAUAAGCAGAAGUUGUUGGGUAGUCUUCUGUGGACUCCUUAAGAGGGAAUAGACUACUCACAGACUCCUUUUUCUCCUUCUCCCUUCCUUCCAUGCCUUUCUGGAACAGGAAGUUUAACAUGAUGAUUGGCGCUCUAGCUGUCACAUUGGACCAUGAAGUUAUGUUGUUUUUUUUUUUAAUUAAUUUUUAGUUUUAUUUCAGUGGUUUUGGGGGUAUAGGUGGUUUUUGAUUCCACG
rnacentral:lncRNA from 1 species